UGGGGAAUUUUGCGCAAUGGGGGAAACCCUGACGCAGCAACGCCGCGUGGAGGAUGAAGUCCCUUGGGACGUAAACUCCUUUCGACCGGGACGAUGAUGACGGUAUCCGGAGAAGAAGCCCCGGCUAACUUCGUGCCAGCAGCCGCGGUAAUACGAAGGGGGCUAGCGUUGUUCGGAAUUACUGGGCGUAAAGCGCACGUAGGCGGGUUUGUAAGUAGGGGGUGAAAUCCCAGAGCUCAACUCUGGAACUGCCUUCUAGACUGCAAGCCUGGAGGUCAGGAGAGGCGAGUGGAAUACCGAGUGUAGAGGUGAAAUUCGUAGAUAUUCGGUGGAACACCAGUGGCGAAGGCGACUCGCUGGACUGAUACUGACGCUGAGGUGCGAAAGCGUGGGGAGCAAA
rnacentral:rRNA from 1 species